rnacentral:rRNA from 1 species
UACGUAGGGUGCAAGCGUUGUCCGGAAUUAUUGGGCGUAAAGAGCUCGUAGGCGGUUCGUCGCGUCGGCUGUGAAAUCCCGAGGCUCAACCUCGGGUCUGCAGUCGAUACGGGCGGACUGGAGUUCGGCAGGGGAGACUGGAAUUCCUGGUGUAGCGGUGAAAUGCGCAGAUAUCAGGAGGAACACCGGUGGCGAAGGCGGGUCUCUGGCCCAAUAUUGACGCUGAGAUGCGAAAGCGUGGGGAUCAAACAGG